CUAGGAAUGGAAUUCUAAAUGGAAAAAAAUUUUUUCUUCAACAUUUUGAAGGUAUUAUUUCAUGGCAUUUGAAAGCAAUGUCGCUGGCAUUCAGUGUCGCUACUGACAGUUUUUCAAAGCUGUUUUGAAUAAUAGCCUCUUCUUGUUUAAUGGAAGCAACAUCUUAUCUCUAAGCAAGCACGGUGACCAUAUUUUCCAUAGAAUCAGGACGCAUUAUCUGACAAGUGAUUUAUGGGCAGCCUCCAGGUGCAAGAAGGAGUCGGUGUUAUAAAAGUUUCAACAUCAAAAUAUUGGAACUCCAAGGAUAGCUGGAUGACUUUACUGGAAAAAGCACAUUUGGCACCACUCCUUGUAAGACUGUGAGUUACUCAAGAGGGGGAACUAGACAUUACACCUCUUUUGAAGUUCUCUCCAUACCCAGCAUGACUACUAAAUCCACUACUGAGUGGAUGGAUGGUUGGCUGAUCUCUCUUCUCUCCCAGCUCAAGUGUCAUUUCAGAGACACCUUUCUUGAUUUCCCAAAUGAGGUCAUGCUGUUAUGUUCUCAUGGCA